rnacentral:rRNA from 1 species
GUUGUAUGGUUAAGUGACUAAGCGUACACGGUGGAUGCCUGGGCAGUCAGAGGCGAUGAAGGACGUACUAACUUGCGAUAAGCGCAGAUAAGGCAGUAAGAGCCGUUUGAGUCUGCGAUUUCCGAAUGGGGAAACCCAACUGCAUAAGCAGUUACUGUUAACUGAAUACAUAGGUUAACAGAGCAAACCGGGGGAACUGAAACAUCUAAGUACCCCGAGGAGAAGAAAUCAACCGAGAUUCCGGUAGUAGCGGCGAGCGAACCUGGAUUAGCCCUUAAGCACUCGGUGAAGUAGGUGAACAAGCUGGAAAGCUUGGCGAUACAGGGUGAUAGCCCCGUAACCGACGCUUCAUCGAGCGUGAAAUCGAGUAGGGCGGGACACGUGAUAUCCUGUCUGAAUAUGGGGGGACCAUCCUCCAAGGCUAAAUACUCCUGACUGACCGAUAGUGAACCAGUACCGUGAGGGAAAGGCGAAAAGAACCCCUGUGAGGGGAGUGAAAUAGAACCUGAAACCGUGUACGUACAAGCAGUAGGAGCACCUUCGUGGUGUGACUGCGUACCUUUUGUAUAAUGGGUCAGCGACUUAUAUUCAGUGGCAAGGUUAACCGUAUAGGGGAGCCGUAGCGAAAGCGAGUCUUAACUGGGCGCUCAGUCUCUGGAUAUAGACCCGAAACCGGGUGAUCUAGCCAUGGGCAGGUUGAAGGUUGAGUAACAUCAACUGGAGGACCGAACCGACUAAUGUUGAAAAAUUAGCGGAUGACUUGUGGCUAGGGGUGAAAGGCCAAUCAAACUCGGAGAUAGCUGGUUCUCCCCGAAAGCUAUUUAGGUAGCGCCUCGGACGAAUACUACUGGGGGUAGAGCACUGUUAAGGCUAGGGGGUCAUCCCGACUUACCAACCCUUUGCAAACUCCGAAUACCAGUAAGUACUAUCCGGGAGACACACGGCGGGUGCUAACGUCCGUCGUGGAGAGGGAAACAACCCAGACCGCCAGCUAAGGUCCCAAAGUAUUGCUAAGUGGGAAACGAUGUGGGAAGGCUCAGACAGCUAGGAUGUUGGCUUAGAAGCAGCCAUCAUUUAAAGAAAGCGUAAUAGCUCACUAGUCGAGUCGGCCUGCGCGGAAGAUGUAACGGGGCUAAGCAAUACACCGAAGCUGCGGCAAUGAAGUUUACUUCAUUGGGUAGGGGAGCGUUCUGUAAGCCGUUGAAGGUGAAUCGUAAGGUUUGCUGGAGGUAUCAGAAGUGCGAAUGCUGACAUGAGUAACGACAAAGGGGGUGAAAAACCUCCUCGCCGGAAGACCAAGGGUUCCUGUCCAACGUUAAUCGGGGCAGGGUGAGUCGACCCCUAAGGUGAGGCCGAAAGGCGUAAUCGAUGGGAAACGGGUUAAUAUUCCCGUACUUCUGACUAUUGCGAUGGGGGGACGGAGAAGGCUAGGUGGGCCAGGCGACGGUUGUCCUGGUUCAAGUGCGUAGGCUUGAGAGUUAGGUAAAUCCGGCUCUCUUUAAGGCUGAGACACGACGUCGAGCUGCUACGGCAGUGAAGUCAUUGAUGCCAUGCUUCCAGGAAAAGCCUCUAAGCUUCAGAUAGUCAGGAAUCGUACCCCAAACCGACACAGGUGGUCGGGUAGAGAAUACCAAGGCGCUUGAGAGAACUCGGGUGAAGGAACUAGGCAAAAUGGUACCGUAACUUCGGGAGAAGGUACGCUCUUGAUGGUGAAGUCCCUCGCGGAUGGAGCUGACGAGAGUCGCAGAUACCAGGUGGCUGCAACUGUUUAUUAAAAACACAGCACUGUGCAAAAUCGCAAGAUGACGUAUACGGUGUGACGCCUGCCCGGUGCCGGAAGGUUAAUUGAUGGGGUUAGCGCAAGCGAAGCUCUUGAUCGAAGCCCCGGUAAACGGCGGCCGUAACUAUAACGGUCCUAAGGUAGCGAAAUUCCUUGUCGGGUAAGUUCCGACCUGCACGAAUGGCGUAAUGAUGGCCACGCUGUCUCCACCCGAGACUCAGUGAAAUUGAAAUCGCUGUGAAGAUGCAGUGUACCCGCGGCUAGACGGAAAGACCCCGUGAACCUUUACUACAGCUUGGCACUGAACAUUGAACCUACAUGUGUAGGAUAGGUGGGAGGCUAUGAAGACGUGACGCCAGUUGCGUUGGAGCCGUCCUUGAAAUACCACCCUUGUAUGUUUGAUGUUCUAACUUAGACCCAUUAUCUGGGUUGAGGACAGUGCCUGGUGGGUAGUUUGACUGGGGCGGUCUCCUCCCAAAGAGUAACGGAGGAGCACGAAGGUGGGCUAAUCACGGUUGGACAUCGUGAGGUUAGUGCAAUGGCAUAAGCCCGCUUAACUGCGAGAAUGACGGUUCGAGCAGGUGCGAAAGCAGGUCAUAGUGAUCCGGUGGUUCUGUAUGGAAGGGCCAUCGCUCAACGGAUAAAAGGUACUCCGGGGAUAACAGGCUGAUACCGCCCAAGAGUUCAUAUCGACGGCGGUGUUUGGCACCUCGAUGUCGGCUCAUCACAUCCUGGGGCUGAAGUCGGUCCCAAGGGUAUGGCUGUUCGCCAUUUAAAGUGGUACGCGAGCUGGGUUUAGAACGUCGUGAGACAGUUCGGUCCCUAUCUGCCGUGGGCGUUGGAAGAUUGAAGGGGGCUGCUCCUAGUACGAGAGGACCGGAGUGGACGAACCUCUGGUGUUCGGGUUGUGUCGCCAGACGCAUUGCCCGGUAGCUAAGUUCGGAAUUGAUAAGCGCUGAAAGCAUCUAAGCGCGAAGCGAGCCCUGAGAUGAGUCUUCCCUGAUACUUUAAGUAUCCUAAAGGGUUGUUCGAGACUAGAACGUUGAUAGGCAGGGUGUGUAAGCGUUGUGAGGCGUUGAGCUAACCUGUACUAAUUGCCCGUGAGGCUUAACCAUACAACACCCAAGGGGUUUUGUA